rnacentral:lncRNA from 1 species
AAUGACUUUACAAGAUAUCUGUAACAUCUAUACUAUGAUAGGAAAAGAUCUGUGUUUUCUAUUGGUGACAUCAGUGAUAAGUCAAAGGAACUGUUAAUAAUACUAGAUGUCUUCUGUCUAUUUAUAACGGAGAGAGAUACUAAAUUUCAGUUGAAUGAAAGUAAGACUAUAUUAGGGUUCUCUAGAAGAACAGAUUCAAUAUAAAAUAUAUACAUGAUUAACAAGGGAUUUUAUUAGAUAAAUUUACCGGCUCAUCUAAAAUGGCCAUCUGGGCACUGGAGAGCUAAGGGGGAUCCAGGAGCAGUCGAAGGCUGAUGGCCUGGAAGCUCACUGCGGGAUCACCAGUGUGAGUCUGCACAAGCCAAAGAGUUUGGGUUGCAUGGCUAAAGAGUCUGCCCAGGAAGGCUGAAGAAGCUGAACACCAAUAUUCAAAAGUAACUGCAAGGUCAGAGCUCCCCCCAAAACAAGGAAAACUUUUCCUUCCGUAGUCUCUCCAAGCUACAAGCCUAUUGGUUGGUGCCACCAGUGGGUCUUCUCCCCUCAGUUUGCUGACUUAUGAGUCAGUCAUCCACAGACACACUCAGAAUUUACUAAUCUGCUAGGCAGUUCUUACUCAAGUUGAUACAUUACAAUUAAUGAUCACAAAGAUGUACAUUUUUUUUUCCAACCAAAUAUAUACUACACAUGGGACUUCCUGGGUUCCACAGGACCCACAUUAAAAAUAACCUGUACUAAUCUAUUUUCUAAAUGCUUAUAUCAGCAAUGAUUUACUAUUAUUGUGUGCUACAGAGCUUCUACUUUAACAUCCUUAUAAUAUGCCAGUGCCUUUCUUCAGGUCUUCAUAAAUUCUCCCAUGGACCGUCUACAACAGCCUUCCGGCUGCUCUCCACCUACAGCGUUAUCCUCCCUCCCAACGCCAUUUCUCUACCAGCAUUCUCCAAACUUUGAAAACUGCACAUCUUGCUGCUAAAUGAUAUGAUUAAAGUCAUAUAGGAAAAUGACAAAUCAUUCAUCAAGAACCACAACCCGAAGUUACAGGGGUGAUAAAAUGGAGCUGAAAGCCAAAUAAUCCAGUCCCGGUCAUGCAGUUAACUACUCAAAUCCAGUCAUCUCGAGUGUGGUGUGUUCACACACCCUGCUUUCUCUUCUCCGCUGCUCUAUCUACCCGACUUGGUCAGCAGUCUCAUGCAUUACUAACUCUG